rnacentral:RNase_P_RNA from 1 species
GGAGGAGGUCAGGUGAUCGCUGUACUGUUUCGACAGGCAGAGGAAAGUCCGGGCUCCACAGGACGCGGUGGUGGGUAACGCCCACCGUUCGCGAGAACCGGGAAAGUGCCACAGAAAAUAUACCGCCGAUGGCCUGCUUGCAGGCACAGGUAAGGUUGAAAUGGUGCGGUAAGAGCGCACCGCGGUACUGGCGACAGUACUGGCAGGGUAAACCCCACCGGGAGCAAGACCAAGCAGGGCGAAGCGCAAGGCGGGAUUGUCCGUCCCGUUCUUCUUCGGAAGACGACGUUCGGGUAGGUUGCGACGAGGCGUCAGGUAACUGGCGUCCCAGAGAAAUGAUCAUCCCCGACAGAACCCGGCUUACAGACCUCCUCCGCUA